rnacentral:tRNA from 1 species
UCUAAUGUGGCAGAAUUAUGUAAUGAGCUUAAAAUUCAUUUAUAAAUAUAUUUAUUUCUUUAGAA